ensembl:misc_RNA Metazoa_SRP Metazoan signal recognition particle RNA
GCCGGGUGUGGUGGCGCAUGCUUGUAAUCCUAUCUACUCAGGAGGCUGAGGCAGGAGAAUCACUUGAACUCAGGAGGUGGAGGUUGCAGUGAGCCGAGAUCGUGCCACUGCAGUCUAGCCUGGGUGACAGAGUAAGACUCUGUCUCAA